GACUCUGUGGCGCAAUGGAUAGCACAUUGGACGUCUAGGUGUAUGAAGAUAUUCAAAGGUUGUGGGUUCGAAUCCCACCAGGGUCG
rnacentral:tRNA from 1 species